rnacentral:rRNA from 1 species
GUCUACGGCCAUGCCACCCUGAACAAGCCCGAUUCCGUCUGAUCUGGGAAGCUAAGCAGGGUCGGGCCUGGUUAGUAUUUGGAUGGGAGACCAGCUAGGAAGACCACGUGCUGUAGGUG